GUCAAAUGGAGAAAAGCUAGUUCUCAUUUUUCAACUUUAGAAGAUGAGUACAGCUGGCUUGUGUUUAUAAAGUCACACUAGAGGCGUAACAAGCUGCAUUAAUCACCAGUUCAUAGUGGGGAACCACAAGAAAGUCACAGGAGUCCCAGAGGAGUGCGGAAAGACAGACGUCUGUUGCAACAACAGCCUGGCAAUAAAGAGCACAGGCUAAAGGAUACGCUCAUUGGGAAACUUUGGGAAAACUUAGGAAAGAGACAAGAAACAGUAAGAGCCUGUGAGAGAGUCAGGUGAUCAUAGAUACUCAGUACAUAUGGUAAAUCUGCAUGGGAUGAAGAUGUUCUAUGAAUAUACAGAAGAGUAUGCCUGAGUUUACAGUUCCUCUCUGAUAAGAUUCUGAAUAGCUGAAUUAUAUAUUCUGUGCAAUCCUGGGAAA